UACAGAGGUCCCAAGCGUUGUUCGGAUUCACUGGGCGUAAAGGGUGCGUAGGUGGCAGGAUAAGUUUGAUGUGAAAUCUCCGGGCUUAACCCGGAAAAGGCAUUGAAUACUAUUUUGCUCGAGGGUCGGAGGGGAGACUGGAAUUCUCGGUGUAGCAGUGAAAUGCGUAGAUAUCGAGAGGAACACCAGUGGCGAAAGCGAGUCUCUGGACGACUCCUGACACUGAGGCACGAAAGCUAGGGGAU
rnacentral:rRNA from 1 species